UUCGACAGAUGGAAAGUGUCACCAAAAUUAUCGCGAAAGAUUUUUUGGGUCGGCUAGAAUCAGUGUGAAAUUGUUAAAUCAAGAGCCAAAAUGUGUAAAAGUUUAAUGAAAUUUAUGAGCUGUUUAGAGCCAACAUCUCGAAACCAAAAGCCGUUCGAGGGUGUUGUUGAAAAGAAUAGUCCCGCAACUUCCUUACUUCCUCCAUCCCUCAAUCCGAACCAUUGUAAAUUAGGCCACCAUGAACUCGAUUUCUUUUUAACCAGCUUUUUAACAUAAUUUUGGCAAACCUCACAUCACCCUGAAAACCGAAAAGCUCUGAAGAUAGUCAUACGGUGCAAACCAAAUUUUAGCUGUUCAGAUGCAUGAGGUAUUUUAGCUGUUCAGAUGCAGAUCUUCAAUCGCCUCCAGAAAUUAGAGAUGAGCCGGGUACUUUGUCGUCUACUCCACUGUGACUGUGCUCAUCUGGUCUGUUUUGCCGCUUACUCCACCGGUUAAGUCUAUUGUUUAUGCUUCGCGUUGAUUGAGGUCCCUAUAUACGUCCUUUAAAACCAGGAAGAGUAAUACCUGCAUAUGGCUGAGUAGGCUAGGAUUAGCAUCGUCUUGCUUAGCGUUUCUUCGGAAGAUAUCGCAGUUGCCUGCCAUAGGUCGACAUUCCAUUAGGUUAUCUGCUAUUUGAUCACUUAGGACCUGAACUAGCAUUUGUCUGCCACUGGCAGAUAAUGUUUUACUAGCCCAUAAUUUCCUCAGAUAUGCAUGUUGUUCAACUGUUAGACCCAGUAUUUCAGCUAACAAAGAAUCCUCUAAAAACGACUGCCAGAUCAAGUGGAGAUCGGCGCUAGGUUAACUGCAAAUUCAAUUUACUUUAACCGUAAACCAAUAAAUUUCGUUUCUAAAGUAA